rnacentral:tRNA from 1 species
GGGGCUGUAGCUCAAUCGGUUAGAGCAGAGGACUCAUAAUCCUUUGGUUCUGGGUUCGAGUCCCAGCGGCCCCA